GACAGAGGGUGCAAACGUUGCUCGGAAUUACUGGGCGUAAAGCGCGUGUAGGUGGCCACGCAAGUCAGGUGUGAAAGCCCAGGGCUCAACCCUGGAAGUGCACAUGAUACUACGUGGCUGGAGUACUGAAGAGGAGAGCGGAAUUUCCGGUGUAGCGGUGAAAUGCGUAGAUAUCGGAAGGAACAUCAGUGGCGAAAGCGGCUUCCUGGACCAGUACCGACGUUCAGGCACGAAAGCGUGGGGAGCAAACAGG
rnacentral:rRNA from 1 species